GCCAGGGUAGCUCAGCCUGGGAGACCCUUUAGGCCUGUGAGCACCCGGCUGAAGACCGGGCUGUCGCAGGUUCAAAUCCUGCCCCUGGCA
rnacentral:tRNA from 1 species